UUUACAGUUCCAUUCCCAUUCCUUUGAAACCGUUACCAGUAGGCUAAUCCAACACAAGUCACACUGCAUUUUGCAUUUGCAAAAUCACUUCAUAUUGUUGUUGCGAAUAGCAUUUAGGGACUAGGGUCAUCAACAAUAGAUACCAUCCAAGCCUUAAAUUAUGAAUAAAAUUUCAUAUUAAAAUUGCAUUUUAGGCAACAACUAGCUUUCGAAUUAAGGCAUCAUCCAACGUUUUUGGGCCAUAGUGGGCACAUGUAUACCACACCACNNNNNNNNNNNNNNNNNNNNNNNNNNGAGAAUAGAUACCAUUACCAUCCCUUAAAUCAUAUGACUACAAUUUCGUAUGAAAAUUGCAUUGAAGGCCAUCAUCCAACUUUUGCAUUAUGAACAAAUAGUUCAAAAUGCAUUUUACUCGAAGGUCAUUGAGACAUCCAUCCCUUAAAACAUUUAAAAUAAAGUAAAUCCAUCGAUUCCAACGGUCAGAUUUUUUUUUCCUCUGGCAGAAGAUUGAAUGUUCUUGAGUAUCCAAGAAUGAGAAAAAAUGGGCAAGGUUCUACCUUUUUUCUUUUCUCAAGCAGAAGAUUGAAUAUUCUUGGAUAAUCAAGAAUGAGAAAAAAUGGGUAAAGG
rnacentral:lncRNA from 1 species